rnacentral:rRNA from 1 species
CGCAUCUGUGUAUGCAGCAUAUCAAUAAGUGGAGGAAAAGAAACUAACAAGGAUUCCCCUAGUAACGGCGAGUGAAGCGGGAAGAGCUCAAAUUUGAAAUCUUAAAGGGUUUCCCUUUACGAAUUGUAGUUUAAAGAAGUGUUUUCUGUUGAGGUUUUGGUAAAAGUUCUUUGGAAUAGGACAUCAUAGAGGGUGAGAAUCCCGUAUUUGACCUUUACUUUCAACUUUGUGAUACACUUUCAAAGAGUCGGAUUGUUUGGGAAUGCAGUCCAAAAUGGGUGGUAAAUUUCAUCUAAAGCUAAAUAUUGGCGAGAGACCGAUAGCGAACAAGUACCGUGAGGGAAAGAUGAAAAGAACUUUGAAAAGAGAGUUAAACAGUACGUGAAAUUGUCAAAAGGGAAGCGUUUGACACCAGUGUUGUUUUUCUGAAAAUCAAUUAAAGAAUUGUUUAUGCUAAGCUGUUUAGACUUUAUCAGCUAACUGUUUAGUUUUGAGCUUUUCUUUAAUGCACUUUUCAGUUAACAAGUCAACAUCAUAUUUCUUUUGCUGUAAAAAAGCUUGAGGAAGGUGGCUUGAGAUUCGUCUUAAGUGUUUAUAGCCUCUUGCCUAUGCAGUCGGAGAGAUUGAGGUCUGCAGCGUAGAUCCUUCGGGGCUAAAUGCAUUUGUGCUAAGUUAUAGCAUUUUAUAGACAACUUGUUGACUAUGAUUUGUCUUGUAGCUUACUCGCUUAUGUUAUUUUACCUACGCUUAGGAUGUUGAACGCGCACAGAGUCUC